UGCUCUGUGAAAGACACUAUAAAAAAAAUGAGAAUCUGGUGUAUGUGCUUGGCUGAGGAGCCAAUGAGACGAAGUUACCAUCUGUGGGAUUCUGACUGAACACCUCUAAGUCAGAAUCCUGCCCAGGUGGAACAAUACGGCAAUGCCAAGGAGCCUUGGUUGGCCUCAGACAGCCAGUCUCCCACUGACCCCACCAGUGGGCCACCACACUUAAGAGACCAGGGUCCAGUGCAGAGAGCACCUCAUCCUGCAAAACAGGGCGCGUCUGGAAAGGGGCCACCCCCUCGCCAGUCACACAACGCACAUUCACGCUAAACCAUUCACAGACAACCUGCUUCUAGGUCAGGGUUUCAUAUGUAGCAGAGCAGCUCCCUCGCUGCGAUCUAUUAAAAGUCAGCCCUCGACACAAGGGUUU
rnacentral:ncRNA from 1 species